UAGGGAAUCUUCCACAAUGGGCGAAAGCCUGAUGGAGNAACGCCGCGUGUGUGAUGAAGGGUUUCGGCUCGUAAAACACUGUUGUAAGAGAAGAAUGACAUUGAGAGUAACUGUUCAAUGUGUGACGGUAUCUUACCAGAAAGGAACGGCUAAAUACGUGCUAG
rnacentral:rRNA from 1 species